CUACAUGCAGUCGACGGUCUCUUCGGAGGCAGUGGCAGACGGGUGAGUAACGCGUGGGAAUCUACCUAGUUCUACGGAACAACAGUUGGAAACGACUGCUAAUACCGCAUACGCCCCACGGGGGAAAGAUUUAUCGGAAUUAGAUGAGCCCGCGUAAGAUUAGCUAGUUGGUGGGGUAAUGGCCUACCAAGGCGACGAUCUUUAGCUGGUCUGAGAGGAUGAUCAGCCACACUGGGACUGAGACACGGCCCAGACUCCUACGGGAGGCAGCAGUGGGGAAUAUUGGACAAUGGGCGCAAGCCUGAUCCAGCCAUGCCGCGUGAGUGAUGAAGGCCUUAGGGUUGUAAAGCUCUUUCAGUAGGGAAGAUAAUGACGGUACCUACAGAAGAAGCCCCGGCUAACUUCGUGCCAGC
rnacentral:rRNA from 1 species